GGCGUCUACCUCUCGAAGGCAGACGCC
rfam:Whataroa virus strain M78 nonstructural protein 4 gene, partial cds; and structural polyprotein precursor, gene, complete cds.